CUGAGGGAAAAGGAGCGAUCCGCUUUGAGAUGGCCUCGCGUCCGAUUAGCUGGUUGGUGAGGUAACGGCCCACCAAGGCGACGAUCGGUAGCCGGACUGAGAGGUUGAACGGCCACAUUGGGACUGAGACACGGCCCAGACUCCUACGGGAGGCAGCAGUGGGGAAUAUUGCACAAUGGGGGAAACCCUGAUGCAGCGACGCCGCGUGGAGGAAGAAGGUCUUCGGAUUGUAAACUCCUGUUGUUGGGGAAAAGAAGGAUGGUACCCAACAAGGAAGUGACGGCUAACUACGUGCCAGCAGCCGCGGUAAAACGUAGGUCACGAGCGUUGUCCGGAAUUACUGGGUGUAAAGGGAGCGCAGGCGGGUAUGCAAGUUGGGAGUGAAAUGCAUGGGCUCAACCCAUGAACUGCUCUCAAAACUGUGUAUCUUGAGUAGUGCAGAGGUAGGCGGAAUUCCCGGUGUAGCGGUGGAAUGCGUAGAUAUCGGGAGGAACACCAGUGGCGAAGGCGGCCUACUGGGCACCAACUGACGCUGAGGCUCGAAAGUGUGGGUAGCAAACAGGAUUAGAUACCCUGGUAGUCCACACCGUAAACGAUGAUUACUAGGUGUUGGAGGAUAGACCCCUUCAGUGCCGCAGU
rnacentral:rRNA from 1 species